rnacentral:tRNA from 1 species
ACCUAGGCGGCUUACUCGGUUAAGCACCCGACUCUGGCUCAGGUUAUGAUCUCACGGUUUGUGGGUUCGAACCCCGCUUUGGGUG